rnacentral:rRNA from 1 species
GAGUGAAGAGGGAAGAGCUCAUCAUUGGAAUCUGGCAGUGUUGCACUGUCCGAGUUGUAGAUGAGGAGUAGUCCGUCUGGACUGCAUGGCGUCCAAGUACAAUAGGCCGUCAGUGGGACAUCAUAGAGGGUGACAAUCCCGUCCUUGACGCCAAUGUGCAAGUCUAUUACGAUGGCUAUCUCAGAGAGUCGAGCAGUUUGGGAUUUGCUGCUUAAACAUGGGAGGUAGAUUCCUUCUAAAGCUAAAUACAGGCGAGAGACCGAUAGAGAACAAGUACCGCAAGGGAAAGAUGAAAUAGCACUCUGUGAAGGGAGUCAAAAGGCGUGAAAUUGUUGCGAGAGAAGCGAUUCAAGUCAGCGUAGCUAGGCCCAUCAAGCGUCUUCGCUUUGGACUAGCUUUGCCAGCGGUCUUGUCCCUUCAAGAGACUUGACUUGUAAUAUGUCCAGCCUGGCGUGCACAGGCAGCCCCUUCUGGGGGCCAGUGGCAUGGCUGGUGGAAUGGCUUGCAAUCGACCCGUCUUGAAACACGGACCAAGGAGUCUAACAUGUAUGCGAGUAUAAGGGUGGCAAACCCGUAUGCGCAAUGAAAGUGAUUUUCGGUGAUUGAGAAUGGCCUGAUGACCAGACAAGCAAUAUAUGUCCCUCGUACGGCCAUUGCCCAAGUUCCGUGGUAGAUCCCACGAACAUGGAGUUGGAGCAUACAUGCUAGGACCCGAAAGAUGGUGAACUAUGCCUGGACAAAGCGAAGCCAAAGGAAACUCUGGUGGAGGCUUGUAGCGAUUCUGACGUGCAAAUCGAUCGUCUGAUCUGGGUAUAG